rnacentral:tRNA from 1 species
GCUAAUGUAGCAAAGGGUAAUGCGAUAGAUUUAGGAUUUAUUAUUAAAGGUUCAAAUCCUUUCUUUAGUU